rnacentral:lncRNA from 1 species
CCUGGCUUUCUUAACUCAGCGGAAACUUAACUCAACAGAAUAACUCAAUGCCAUGCAAAGACAUAAACAACUUAGAUGAUACAUAUCUGGCCAAAAAGGCAACUCGAGUCUCAAAAUAGAAUAUUUACAUAUAUACAUAGAUAAGAGACUCAAUACUAACUGACUAUCUGUCUAUGAAGCCUCUAACAUACUGCGAUGGAUGUUGGG